rnacentral:lncRNA from 1 species
GGAGAAUUGACAAGAAAAAUGGACUGACAGUUUAUGUCAGUGGAUAGAAAAUUCUUUCAUAAAAACUUGAAAGGAGCCAGGCACGGUGGUGCACACCUGUAAUCCCACCAACUCUGGAGGCUGAGGCAGUAGGAUCUCGAAUUCAAAGCCAGCCUCAACAAAAGCAAGGUGCCAAGCAAUUCAGCGAAACCCUCUCUCUAAAUAUAAUACAAAAUAGGGCUGGGGAUGUGGCUCAGUGGUUUAAUGCUCCUGAGUUCAAUCCCCAGUACAAAAAAAAAAAAAAUCAGAUCUUUGACUCACCAUGCCUUCUUAGAAGAAUAUAUGCUAAUGAAAUAAUCCAAAGAAGGAAACUGUAAUAUGGAUGAAUAUGAUUAAAAUUCAGUGGAUUGGAAACAACCUGAAGGUUCAGCAAUGGGAGAAGAGUUAAGUCAGUGAUGAUAUACCCUUGAUAGUCAGGAGGAUGCCAGCAUUGCUACAUGGUAGGAGUAUGGAAUAGAUUAUUAUAGGAGGGAGGCCAGGGGGUGUAUAGCUGCAUUUAGGUGGAUUAAAUACUCUCUUUAUUUAAACUGAAUAUUUUUGUGGGGUUUGUGUUAGUCUAUUUUCUGUUGCUGUAUCUAAGUACCAGCGGUAGGGUGAUACACAAAGAAGAGGUUUAUUUACCUCACAGUUUGGAAGCUGAAAGUCCAAGAUUGAGCAGCCCCAUCAGUUGGCCUCUGGUGAGGGCCUUCUGGCUACAUCACAACAUGGUGAUAGCAUCAUGGUGGAAGUACGUGCAAGGAGGGGGAAAUUACAUUGCAAGACAGGAAACCAGAGGCUGGGAAGGGGCCAGACUCACUCUUUUUAUAACUACCUGCUCUUACUUUCAUGAGAACUCACUCUUUCAAGACCAAGCCCACUUCCAGACCAGCAUUAAUACAUUCAUGAGGGUGAAGACUCCAUAACCAUAUAGUAGGCCCAGUCUCUUAAAGGCCCAGUCUCUCUUACACCACACUGGGGACCAAGUUUCCAGAACAUGAAGCUUCAGAGAACACACUCAAAUGGUACCGUAACAAGUUAGCCUGAGAGAAAUGAAGAAGAGGUUCAGAGGAUCUUAAACCAGCUCCACUGGGGCUGCCACUAUUGGCAAACUACUACAGUGAAUAAAAUAAUUAUUAGACAGUUUAUGUAGCAAUAUAGAAAAAUACUCAAUAUAUCUUGUUAAGGAUAGAACAAAGUACAAAAUUAUAGCCAUGCUGUAAUUUCUACAGUUAUGUUUAAAAAAGAAAAAAAAAUAGUCUUUUGAGCCAUGUCAGGAAAGAGACAGAAAAAUAGUAUGACUUUUUGAGUGGCAGAAUUAUCAAUAAAUAUUUCAUUCCAUCUUCUACUAAUGUUGUUCAAUGCAAAAUGCAAGUUAAUAUCUUACAAAACUAUCUUAAGUGUUCAAAAUUACAUCUUUUCUUUUCCAAUGUGUCUGAGAUAUUAAUGGUGAUUUAGCCACCUGCUUAGUGAGUAUCACUUUGACACCUGUUAUCAUUUGGCAGAGUUAGACUCCAUCUAAGCUCCGGGUAAUGGGUCUACUUCUGGUGUUCAUGGAUCCACAGAAGCAAAGGAAAAAAGCAUAUCAACAUGAAAUCACCAGCCACAAAUGCCUUUCCACCGGAACUAUAAACAUACACUUGCUCACAUGAAGCUGGUGGGAGAGUAAAUUGACAAACAUGUUUGGCAUUCUCUAAUAAAACUGAAGAUAUUUAUAUCCUCUGACCUAGAAAUUCUACUCCUAGGUAUUUGCCCUGGAGAAACGAUUGCCAAAUAUAUACCAGUAAAUAUGCAUAAGAAUUCAUAUAGUAGCUCCAAAAACUAAAGUCAAUUUGAAUGUUCAACAAUAGAGUGGAUUUUUAAAUGGGUAAAACUAUGGUGUAAUCAAGUAAUACUAUAUAACCAGGAAUAUAUUCUAAUUACAUUCAGGCUCAACACAUUGGAUGAAGCUCAUAAAUGUAAUGAUGAAUGAAAGUAGAAAAUCAUGUUGUAUGAUUCCACUCAUAAAUGUUUAAGUCUUGGCAAAAUUAAACUGUUAUUAAGGGAUGCAUACAAAAUGGGGAAAACUAGAAAGGAUGGAAAUGAUUAUCACAAAUGUCAAGCUUGUGGUUACCUCUGGGAGGGCAAGGGAGAGGAGCUGAGGUGACCUCUGGGAGGGCAAGGGAGAGGGGCUGAGCUUAGAAGGGCACCUUGGGGCUUCUGACCUAACUGCCAUUCUUUCUUAAUGCAAACGGUGUUUUGUGGAUUUUUUUUUUCCGGUACCAAUGAUUGAACUCAAGGGCACUGGACCACUGAACCAUAUCCCCAACCCUAUUUCGUAUUUUAUUUAGAGACAGGAUCUCACUGAGUUGCUUAGUACUUCGCCAUUGCUGAGGCUGGCUUUGAAUUCGAAAUCCUCCCGUCUCAGCCUCCUAAGUCACUGGGAUUACAGGCAUAUGCCACCAUGCCCAGCUGUUUUAUGGAUGUUUACAUCAUUGUUUUACAUUGAACAGUGGCACAUUUGUGGUUUGCCAUCCUCCCUGUACAUUAUAGUUUAUAUUAAAAAAAAAAAAAAAAAGCAAUGAGACCUUCACAAAAAGGUCAAUGGGUCAGAAGUGAGGCUGUGGGGAAAUCGCCUUCAGGUCACUGAAGCUGGAGGUAAAGGGAGUUGAAUAAGUGGGUUCAGACCUGGAUUAAUGAAACAGAGCUACCUCGCGGAUUUGGUUACUAAGGAGGAGCAUUGUUCAGAAGCACUAGUCAAUGAAUCAAGGUGACCUUUUGAAUUCCUCCAUGAAAGGUCUAAACCACCAGGAAUUAUACCCUUGGAAAGGCUCUGGGGCAAUGGAAACAAGAAUUCUCCAUAGUUCCUGGAGCCUGAUGCACAAGGAAAAGAUGUCCUGUCUUAGUUCACGUCUAUACCCUCUCUUGCUUCUGUCUUCGCGCUUAUUCCGUUUUGAGAAUCUCAAGAGGGAGAUGUGGGCCUACCCACAGACACAUCAAGUUUGCAGUUUCUGGAUCUGAAUUAGGGUCGCCCAUCACUGUCACACGGUAUUACAACCAGCAAGGCCACCUGACUCACUUUCAAUGCUUAUAAUAUUGCCCAGGAAGAGUGGAAGCUAGGCCUUGGGGAGCACUCCUCCAACCGACUCAGCAAGAAAAAUCCAAGCAAUUGUUCAGGUGGUGGUUAAUAUGGAAGGACUGCCCCAUGUUAAACAUUCCAUCAAGAACCAAAAGACUCUAUUGAUUACCUGCAUUCCCUUUGAAGCUCAAGGCCUGAGGAUUCUCACUGGAUCAUUUGCUGUUGUGUUCCUAGCACCUCAUCAAACUUUCAAAGAAGCAAAAGAGAUUGCUGAGUGUUCUUGUUGUGCACUGUUAAGCUUAAUUUUCUAUUGACUGGGUCAUUUUUAUAGCUCUGAGCUGUGGAGGUGAACAUAUAGAUUUUUGUUUGAUACAGAUAUAAAUAAUUUCUGUCUAGUGGAACAGAUAACCUCAAGGGUUAUAGAUAUAACUCUGUUUGACAUUAACCAAUUUUGUAUAAACCCCAGAAAUCUUAUACUAGUCCUAUAAAAAAUAACUAGUAUUUAGAUAUCAGGUCUCCCCUCAAAAGCUCAUGUGUGAGACAAUGUAAGAAAGUUUAGAGGUGAAAUGAUUUGACUGUGAGAGUUUAACCUAAUCAGUGCAUUAAUUCCCCUGAUAGGGAUUAAUGAGUGGUGAGGUAGGCAGGUAGGGUAUGACGAGAAGAGCUGGGCUGAUAAACCUUGGGCUUUAUAUUUUGUCAUAGUGAGGAGAGAGCUAGCGCUCGCCCUCGCACACUCUCUCUCUCCUUCCUGGUGUGAUGUCCUGAGCCACUUUUCUCUGCCAUACUCUUCCAUCAUGAUGUGCUGCCUCAUCUCAAGCCCUGAGGAACAGAGCUGGCUAUCUACAGACUGAGAUUUCUAACCAUGAGCCCCCAAAUAAACUAUUCCUCCUUAAAAUUGUUCUUAUGAAGUCUUUUGGUCACAGCAAUGAAAAAGUUGACUGAAAUAGCUAGUUUCUCAAAUGUUCUUUGGACCGCUACUAAAAUCAACUAGAUCUCCAUUGGCAGGGCUGGGAAGAAGGCGUUUUCCUCUGUGAAGGUCCAUGUGAAGAAUGUACAGAGAAUGGACUGGGAGUCAAUAUUUGCAAACCACAGACCCAACAAAUACAAAAUCAAAACCUAACACUGAAAAAAAAAUCACAUGAUUCAAAUGGAAAAUGAGUCAAAGAGGGCUGGGGCUGGGGCUCAGUGGUAGAG